rnacentral:rRNA from 1 species
GAUGAACGCUGGCGGCGUGCCUAACACAUGCAAGUCGAACGAAGCAUCUUAUCUUGAUUUCUUCGGAUUGAUUGACUUGAUGACUGAGUGGCGGACGGGUGAGUAACGCGUGGGUAACCUGCCUUAUACAGGGGGAUAACAGUUAGAAAUGACUGCUAAUACCGCAUAAGCGCACAGUAUCGCAUGAUACAGUGUGAAAAACCCCGGUGGGAUAAGAUGGACCCGCGUCUGAUUAGCUAGUUGGUGAGGUAAUGGCUCACCAAGGCGACGAUCAGUAGCCGGCCUGAGAGGGUGAACGGCCACAUUGGGACUGAGACACGGCCCAAACUCCUACGGGAGGCAGCAGUGGGGAAUAUUGCACAAUGGGGGAAACCCUGAUGCAGCGACGCCGCGUGAGCGAUGAAGUAUUUCGGUAUGUAAAGCUCUAUCAGCAGGGAAGAAAAUGACGGUACCUGACUAAGAAGCCCCGGCUAACUACGUGCCAGCAGCCGCCGUAAUAC